AUUUUCACUUAGCUUGUUGUUUUGCGCGGCUCGUCAGAACCGGAGACUUUGCUAAACUUAUACUGUUAAGUUAUCCAACAUUGACGCUGAUGAUUUAGCUGAAACAACAUGGCGCUCAGGUCUACAGACUGCACAAGGCCCAGGUGUCGUGGAAACCUGCAGGGGAGGACUGGUGCAAUUUUCGGCAUCUCCUUCUCCUCAAGCCUACUGAUCGGAAAGUUGUGAGUUUGAAUCCCAGGUCCACCAAGAUUUCUCUGCUGGGCUCCUGAGCUAGACCCUUAAUCCUCAAUUGUAUAAAAUAAAUAAAACAACAUUAACGCCCCCUUUGCCUCUGCCAUCCUUGCCGUGAAGCAGCCGUACAAGGCCUGUGUGAAGUCUGGCGAGUGGUGUUUGUACUGGACCAUGAGCAUUGGACUUCAUUAAAGAAGAAUGCCAUCAGCUGUCAGUUAUGUAAGCACCACGGUAAGAAGGACAUUCUUAAGGUUGUAGAGCACGAGUACACAAUCCCUAAAGAACACCGCACAGUACAUAAAGUUGUUUAGCCAAGCACCAGAACACCGGCUUUAUAUUUACGAUCUGUAAUGAUUGUUACUCCUUAUUAAGUUUUCUGAUGCAGGAUGUGUGUUUUUAUGGUGUGGUCACACAAAAUGGGGAGAAAAGGUCAUGGUGUCUCCCCGUCGGGGAAUCGAACCCCGGUCUUCCGCGUGACAGGCGGAGAUACUGUCCACUAUACUAACGAGGAGUGAGUGUCACUGCCUGAAGGUGGUCUAAUGAAUUUUGUUUUAUCAACUUUAGUUGUUACUUUAGUUGUGUCAUGACCCUAAACACACUGCUUUCACAUUGGGUCAGUCUGGUAUUUUUUUGGCACUUCCAGACAAAACAAUGUCUCCUUUUAUAAUCUCCUGGACAUUAUUGUGUAAUGAAUCCCUGAGCAAGAUUAACCAUUCAGUUAACUGAAUGUAUUUCUAAGGUAUAUACAUACUAACAUAACUUUUGUUCUGAAGUGCCAUUGUUUUUUCCACCUGUUCUUUCCCCUUAAUGUUUUCCCAUUACCCAUGAUCCUCUGCUUUCAGUGAGUCAGAUCAUUUGAUUCAGCUCACCAGUAAGAGUCGACUCUUUCAUGUACUGAACAGAAGAAGAAUUUAACAGAACCCAGAUGGAACAGGAAUGAUAAUAUUUAUGCUAAUUAGUGUUAUUUUGCUCAUUUUAGCUUAAAAAACAUUUUUCCUUAGAGCUUGGUCAAGCCCAGGGAAUGUCUGGUGUAAUUAUCAGCAUUUUGUUGACUUGUAGCAACCAGGUGUUCAUCGUCCCAACACUGGUAGGAUUUUUCUGAUCACUAAAGUUUAUAUCUUCUAGUAUUUCUAUAAAACUCAUUAUUAUUUGUUUUAAUUCAAAGUGUAAUCACUAAUUUUACACUUUCCUGUGUUGAUUAUAGGAAUCACUUGCACAUGUAGUUGUAUUGUACUCACUUUUGCUACUGUCUCAGUCCUGUUUGUUAAAUAAACCCAGCCACCUCAGCCUUCCUCACAGUGGUGUUCCUGUACCAGACCUGGGGAGACUGACUGGUGGACAGGUGUUUAUACUGGACCCAUACAAACACAGUGUGUACGGAUCACAUCAUGGACCCUGCCAUUCAUCACAGCUGCUGCAAAGACUCACAGAGUUUUCGUCACCCAACAACAAGGUCCCAUGUUGUGCCCUACAUAAAACCUGUACAGAGUACAUGGCUUUACUGUGUGAAGGAAAAAGGUGUUUCUCCCCGUCGGGGAAUCGAACCCCGGUCUUCCGCGUGACAGGCGGAGAUACUGUCCACUAUACUAACGAGGAGUUAGUGCCUGAACCUUAGUCGAUGUGCUUAUGAAAUGUGAGCUACAACUUACUGACUUGCGUGUGUGUAUGUAUAUAUAUAGGGUAUAUUCACACUCACAUAUCUAUUUGUUUGCCUUUAAGUGCUAUUUUCCCUUCUCACCCUUUUCUCAGGGUUCUCACAUUACCCAGGAUUCACUGCUCUCAGUGAGUCAGAUCAUUUUCACCAACGAGUCGACUCUUUCAGCUAAACAGAUUACAUGAUAUAUGUUUUUUUCAUUAUCUACAACUAAUAACUAGUACUUUGUUCUUUACAUUUGUUAAUCCGCCAUGAUUCUACCACGUGUUCGUACUGAUAUCAGACACCCCACAGCAAAGCUGCCAUCUACUGGAUGUUGAAUUAUAGCUGCCAGUACUAUUUUCAAGAACGACUCCUGCAACGAGCCACACAGCACUGGGCAGCACGUAAAGCGUUUAGCCAAAACCCCUGAAGACCAGCUGCUCUGAAGACUAUGCGUCUUAUUUGUGUAUUAUUAAAAAAAAUGUUUUGGAAAAAAGAUUUGAGUUCUCCCCGUCGGGGAAUCGAACCCCGGUCUUCCGCGUGACAGGCGGAGAUACUGUCCACUAUACUAACGAGGAACGAGCACUCAAGUUUUCAAGUGACAAUAAAUUGUUAUGUCUAUUAUUACAUUAUUGCGAUGCAGUAAUCGUGACUUGAGGCAUAAUACUGGACCCUGUUUCUCUCGCAGUCUGGUCUUGGGUAUAACUUUUGGGCUU